AGAGUUUGAUCCUGGCUCAGAUUGAACGCUAGCGGCAUGCUUUACACAUGCAAGUCGAACGGCAGCACGGGCUUCGGCCUGGUGGCGAGUGGCGAACGGGUGAGUAAUGCGUCGGAACGCGCCGAGUAGUGGGGGAUAACGCAGCGAAAGCUGUGCUAAUACCGCAUACGUACUGAGGUAGAAAGUGGGGGACCUUCGGGCCUCACGCUAUUCGAGCGGCCGACGUCUGAUUAGCUAGUUGGUGGGGUAAAGGCUCACCAAGGCGACGAUCAGUAGCGGGUCUGAGAGGAUGAUCCGCCACACUGGGACUGAGACACGGCCCAGACUCCUACGGGAGGCAGCAGUGGGGAAUUUUGGACAAUGGGCGCAAGCCUGAUCCAGCCAUGCCGCGUGUCUGAAGAAGGCCUUCGGGUUGUAAAGGACUUUUGUCCGGGAGCAAAGCCUACUUGUUA
rnacentral:rRNA from 1 species